GCUAGACAUGACUUCAGCACCAAGGUGAUUCAUCUGUUGUUGUCCUCUUGCUGCUAGACAUUUGUAUUUGUAUUGAUUAUGGAUCCCCAGUAGCUGCUGCCAAAGCAGAAGCUACUCUUCCUGGGGUCCAGCAAAAUUAAGGAAGGUUAUACAAUUUAAAAAACCUUACAGUUCAUUCACAGAUUUUACAACUCACUGGUGGCCCUCAGGCCCCUACUCUGCCUCUACCACAUAUCUACAGUACUAAAUCCAUGUGUAUGUAUAGAGCAUAUGUUAUCGUGUGUGUGUGUGUGUGUGUGUGUGUGUGUGUGUGUGUGUGUGUGUGUGUGUGUGUGUGUGUGUGUGUGUGUGUGUGUGUGUGUGCCAAUGUUUGUGUUGCUUCACAGUCCCCGCUGUUCCAUAAGGUGUUUUUUUAAUCUGUUUUCUAUUUCUAAUUUACUGCUUAGCGUCACUCACUUUAUAUGGAAUAGAGUUCCAUGUAGUCAUGGCUCUAUGUAGUACUGUGUGCCUCCCAUAGUCUGUUCUGGACUUGGGGACUGUGAAGAGACUUCACCAUGUCCUCUUGCUGCUAGACAUGACUUCAGCACUAAGGUGAUUCAUCUGUUGACUCGAACUCACUCAUGAGACAACGCACAUGGCAAACAAAUCAAGCUUUUGGCAAAGGGUAACACAAAACUCCCCUCUCUAAAAAGGAAAUCAUAAUUAGUAACUGAAAACACCUGAUUGUCAUUAUAGUCUCGAGGGCGAUCUCUGCCACCUUCUGGUGACAGGCGGAACAAUGACAGUACCUAUUCUAGUAUUCUAGGAGCAUCUUCACACGCUGAGCUGGGACAACCGCCACGUAGUUGGUUGAAGUCCCGAACAAGGCCCGGGUCCAGAAUGUCCCAGGCAGGCACCCAUGCCCACUCCUCUGGGCCGUAACACUCCCAGUCCACCAGGUACUGCAGGUUGCCCCGGACCCAACGAACCUUUAGCAGACGCCGGGCGGCUGUCAACCGGUCGAGGGAGCGGAGGGGCCGGUGUAGUAGGGAGAAGGACUGGUCCUUACCAACUUGAGACAGGAUUGCUGAGGCUCAAGCUCUUGAGCACUUUUAAUAAUGUGAAAUGUCAGAAUAAUAGUAGAGAG
rnacentral:lncRNA from 1 species